GCGGGUGAAAAGCCCGCUCGCCGGAAGACCAAGGGUUCCUGUCCAACGUUAAUCGGGGCAGGGUGAGUCGACCCCUAAGGCGAGGCCGAAAGGCGUAGUCGAUGGGAAACAGGUUAAUAUUCCUGUACUUGGUGUUACUGCGAAGGGGGGACGGAGAAGGCUAUGUUGGCCGGGCGACGGUUGUCCCGGUUUAAGCGUGUAGGCUGGUUUUCCAGGCAAAUCCGGAAAAUCAAGGCUGAGGCGUGAUGACGAGGCACUACGGUGCUGAAGCAACAAAUGCCCUGCUUCCAGGAAAAGCCUCUAAGCAUCAGGUAACAUCAAAUCGUACCCCAAACCGACACAGGUGGUCAGGUAGAGAAUACCAAGGCGCUUGAGAGAACUCGGGUGAAGGAACUAGGCAAAAUGGUGCCGUAACUUCGGGAGAAGGCACGCUGAUAUGUAGGUGAAGUCCCUUGCGGAUGGAGCUGAAAUCAGUCGAAGAUACCAGCUGGCUGCAACUGUUUAUUAAAAACACAGCACUGUGCAAACACGAAAGUGGACGUAUACGGUGUGACGCCUGCCCGGUGCCGGAAGGUUAAUUGAUGGGGUCAGCGCAAGCGAAGCUCUUGAUCGAAGCCCCGGUAAACGGCGGCCGUAACUAUAACGGUCCUAAGGUAGCGAAAUUCCUUGUCGGGUAAGUUCCGACCUGCACGAAUGGCGUAAUGAUGGCCAGGCUGUCUCCACCCGAGACUCAGUGAAAUUGAACUCGCUGUGAAGAUGCAGUGUACCCGCGGCAAGACGGAAAGACCCCGUGAACCUUUACUAUAGCUUGACACUGAACAUUGAGCCUUGAUGUGUAGGAUAGGUGGGAGGCUUUGAAGUGUGGACGCCAGUCUGCAUGGAGCCGGCCUUGAAAUACCACCCUUUAAUGUUUGAUGUUCUAACGUGGACCCGUGAUCCGGGUUGCGGACAGUGUCUGGUGGGUAGUUUGACUGGGGCGGUCUCCUCCUAAAGAGUAACGGAGGAGCACGAAGGUUGGCUAAUCCUGGUCGGACAUCAGGAGGUUAGUGCAAUGGCAUAAGCCAGCUUGACUGCGAGCGUGACGGCGCGAGCAGGUGCGAAAGCAGGUCAUAGUGAUCCGGUGGUUCUGAAUGGAAGGGCCAUCGCUCAACGGAUAAAAGGUACUCCGGGGAUAACAGGCUGAUACCGCCCAAGAGUUCAUAUCGACGGCGGUGUUUGGCACCUCGAUGUCGGCUCAUCACAUCCUGGGGCUGAAGUAGGUCCCAAGGGUAUGGCUGUUCGCCAUUUAAAGUGGUACGCGAGCUGGGUUUAGAACGUCGUGAGACAGUUCGGUCCCUAUCUGCCGUGGGCGCUGGAGAACUGAGGGGGGCUGCUCCUAGUACGAGAGGACCGGAGUGGACGCAUCACUGGUGUUCGGGUUGUCAUGCCAAUGGCACUGCCCGGUAGCUAAAUGCGGAAGAGAUAAGUGCUGAAAGCAUCUAAGCACGAAACUUGCCCCGAGAUGAGUUCUCCCUGACCCUUUAAGGGUCCUGAAGGAACGUUGAAGACGACGACGUUGAUAGGCCGGGUGUGUAAGCGCAGCGAUGCGUUGAGCUAACCGGUACUAAUGAACCGUGAGG
rnacentral:rRNA from 1 species